rnacentral:rRNA from 1 species
UACGGAGGGAGCUAGCGUUGCUCGGAAUUACUGGGCGUAAAGCGCACGUAGGCGGAUCUUUAAGUCAGAGGUGAAAUCCCAAGGCUCAACCUUGGAACUGCCUUUGAUACUGGGGAUCUUGAGUCCGGGAGAGGUGAGUGGAACUGCGAGUGUAGAGGUGAAAUUCGUAGAUAUUCGCAAGAACACCAGUGGCGAAGGCGGCUCACUGGCCCGGUACUGACGCUGAGGUGCGAAAGCGUGGGGAGCAACAGG